rnacentral:tRNA from 1 species
CAGAAGAUAGUUUAAAAAAAAUAUUAAUUUUGGGAAUUAAUGAUAGGGGUCAUCUCUUUUUCUGA